rnacentral:rRNA from 1 species
UACGUAGGGUGCAAGCGUUAAUCGGAAUUACUGGGCGUAAAGCGUGCGCAGGCGAUUGUGCAAGACAGAUGUGAAAUCCCCGGGCUCAACCUGGGAACUGCAUUUGUGACUGCACAGCUUGAGUGCGGCAGAGGGGGAUGGAAUUCCGCGUGUAGCAGUGAAAUGCGUAGAUAUGCGGAGGAACACCGAUGGCGAAGGCAAUCCCCUGGGCCUGCACUGACGCUCAUGCACGAAAGCGUGGGGAGCAAACAGG